UUUGAAGAACGUCAAUGCAUGUUUGCAUUGUCAUAGCACAGGUAGCAAAUCAGCUGCUGCUCCGUCCCUUGAGGGACUCCCCGCCUCACUUAAUUGGCCAAAUAUUCCAAAAGGGCAUCACCCGCCACUAUAUAAACCCUCUCUGUUAGGAUAUUUCCGUUCCACCUUAAAAGGGAGCAGGUUGUUGUGUCACAGCCUGCGUAUUUCCUGUUCACAGGAAGUUUCUCUUUUGUUUAGAGCUUUUGUUUCCCUCUCUGCGUCUGGACACGCAAGCAGGCAGUCAUGCUUUUUCUUUGUUCUGAUCAACACUGACUAAAGUUGUAAAUAAUGCUCUCCUGAGUGCACCUUUCAUUGCACGAACUCUGCUGAUAGAGCGUGCACGAGCCCUGGAAUGUGGCAGGCUAUUUCUGAGGCUUGUGUCGCUAAUUGACUGAUACUGUAUCUACGGGAGAUCGAUGGAUCAUCCAGAAUCGACGUGGGGGCAUGAUGGCCUUUGUCUCCCUGGCAGUAUCCCAACAACAGGUUAUUGUCCCAGAUUCAUGGCACUUACAGGAGAGUAAGACUGCGACAGACUGCUGUGAGGUAUGUGGGGAAAAGCGAAAGUAAGGCUUUCCUGUUGCCGUGGCAGAGACUUUGAACUCCGGCCGGCUAAUUAGCCUGGGAGUCGAGCCAAGCCAAGCAGGCUUCGAGAUUUAUGAGUAGCCAAGAUAAGGAGCCUCUGAAGUGAAAAAGGCUCACGGCUCAAGUGAAUAGCUGAGAUGGAUCUUUUACAAUCCUCAGAAGCUGCUCGGUGUCCACCAAAGCUAAAUGGCCACAACUAUCAGACCUGGGCAAGGUACUGUGAGGGCCAGAUGAGAAGGCUUGGUGUGUGGAAUACUAUUUCUGAGGACCCCCCAGCCCCUGUGACAGAUGAAUGGAAGGCACAGGAUUCAAGAGCCAUGGGGAUAAUUUUGCUCUCAGUAGCUCCUGAAGAGUUAAUCACCCUGGCUGGCAAGGCCAGUGCCCGUGAGAUGUGGGAUGGGCUUAAAGCCUCUCAUCUCCGACAAGAGGCUGGGUCUGUGUUGCUUUACUUCAGAAAGCUGCACAGGAAGCGUUUGGAGCCAGGGGAAGACCUUAGAGCCCACGUUUUACAUUUGCAGCAUCUCAGACAGGAAUUGACUCAGAGAGGUUUCAAUAUGCCUGAGUCACUGUUUGCAAUUCUCAUCCUGGACUCCCUGGAUGAAAGCUACCAUGCCGUGGCAAGUCAGCUGGUGACUCUACCUGCACAGGACCUCACUGCAACAAAGGUCUUGGCGACCCUGCAAAAUGAAUAUGAUAGGAGGAAUGCAGCUGAGUCGGCUUGUGCGCUUCAGGGGGAGCAAGGUGGGACAGCAUUCCAGCCUCCAGGGGGAGCCAAAGUGUUGGCAGCUGUGAAGUGCUGGAACUGUGGGACCCAAGGUCACACUCAGAAGGUUUGUCCAAAGACUGGAAAUAAACAAAGGAAGAAGCCAGCAGAUGGCCAGAAGCAGAGGGGGGUGGAAAGCCCAAGCCAGGGAAAAACAAGGCUUUGUUUGCUGGCACUGCUUCUCCAAAAGCCAAAGGCAAGUUUGAUGGCCAGGAGAAGGGGGGCAAGCAGCAGCCCAAGCCGGUGGAAGACAAGGUUUUGCUUGCUGGAAAAGCUGCUCCAAAGGCCAAAGCCAGAUUUGUUGUAGAUUCGGGAGCCAUACAGCAUUUGGCAAAAGAUAAACAUCUAUUUAUCUCCUUAACGCCUCAAGAUGGAGAGAUCCACCAGGCUGAUGGAAAGACGUUGCGAAUUGCAGGAGUCGGGAAUGUGAGACUGGCAAGUCUGCACACUACCAUCAGAGAUGUACUUUAUGUUCCAGAUUCUGCAGACAAUUUGCUCAGUGUCCCACAGCUGACUGGGCAUGGCUUUGAGAUUUCCUUCAAGAAGAGCGUCUGUGUCAUCAGGAACGGCAAAGAGGACAUUUUGCAUGCAAAGUUUAUGGAUGGCUUAUUCUGUAUAACUUAUGAUGACAAUGCUGUUGCUGUGUCUAAUGUUGAUUCUUGUUGUGUUGCACAAACUAACAAAGUUCUUCAUGCAGGAUGCAUUCACGAGGCGCACAGAAGAUUUGGUCACAUGUCUUGGCAGGCACUGGCCAAGAUGCCUGGGUUGGUUCAGGGUUUGAACAUCAAGCCCUGUAAGUAUCACAUGAAAUGUGUAUCUUGUGCAGAGAACAAGGUGAAGGUUGCUCCAAAAGGCAAGGAGUCUAGCAGGCAGGCUUCCAAACCCUACCAGCUAGUCCAUGCAGACCUGGUUGGUCCACUUGCACCCUCUUUGGGUGGAGCAAGGUACUUCAUGGUUUUAAUUGAUUCUUUUUCCAGGUACAUUCAUGUGUUUAUGCUCCAGCAGAAAUCGGAAGCGUUUUCUAGGUUCAAGGCAUUCUAUGCUUGGUUGGAGAAUGCUCACAGUAAACAUAUCGGCUGUUUGUUUACUGAUCGAGGCGGGGAGUUUACUUCUCAGCAGUUUGAAGCUUUCCUGACUGAGAAGGGAAUCCAGCAUGACCUCUCAACGCCUAGAUCGCCAUGGAUGAAUGGACUUGCGGAGCGAGCAACCCAGACUUUGCUUCAAGGCCUAAAAACCUUGUUGCAUGAUGCCAAUCUCCCUGAGAAGUUUUGGGGGGAGUCUUUGUCCAUGUUUGUUUAUUCCUAUAACAGGAGACUGUCAUCACCUAUUGGUUGUACUCCCUAUGAGAAGAUGUUUGGUAAGAAACCUUACGUCAAGCACAUGAGAAUCUUUGGUUCUGACAUGUGGGUACACACCCCACAGAGCAACAAGCUUGGGAAGCGUGGGGCACAUGGUUUGUUCAUGGGGUACGAAAAAGGAUCAUACAGGGUAUGGAUGACUGAUUCUAUUAUUUUUUUAAAAAAGAUAUUAAUUAGAGUUUAACAAAUACAGAAAAAAGAAAAGCAUACAAUAAAAGGUUACAAAACUUUAAAAAUAGAUAAAAAGGGGGGGGGGGAAAUACAGUAAAAAAACAAGAACAACAGUACAUCAAAACAUUA
rnacentral:lncRNA from 1 species